GAUGAACGCUAGCGGCAGGCUUAACACAUGCAAGUCGAGGGGCAGCGCGGGAUAGCAAUAUCCUGGCGGCGACCGGCGGAAGGGUGCGUAACGCGUGAGCGACAUGCCCGUUGCCCGGGGACAACCGGUGGAAACGCCGACUAAUCCCCGAUGGGAUAUUGUGCCGCAUGGCACGAUAUUGAAAGUUACGGCGGCGACGGAUUGGCUCGCGUCCGAUUAGCCUGUUGGCGGGGUAACGGCCCACCAAGGCUGCGAUCGGUAGGGGUUCUGAGAGGAAGGCCCCCCACAAUGGGACUGAGACACGGCCCAUACUCCUACGGGAGGCAGCAGUGAGGAAUAUUGGUCAAUGGGCGGAAGCCUGAACCAGCCAUGCCGCGUGCGGGAAGGAGGCCCUAUGGGCUGUGAACCGCUUUUGCCUGGGGGCAAUAAGGGCGUCGCGCACGUCCGAUGAGAGUACCAGGCGAAUAAGCAUCGGCUAACUCCGUG
rnacentral:rRNA from 1 species